CACGUAGUUAGCCGUGGCUUUCUGGUCAGGUACCGUCAAGGUACCGGCAGUUACUCCGAUACUUGUUCUUCCCUGAUAACAGAACUUUACGAUCCGAAAACCUUCAUCGUUCACGCGGCGUUGCUCCGUCAGACUUUCGUCCAUUGCGGAAGAUUCCCUACUGCUGCCUCCGUAGGAGUCUGGGCCGUGUCUCGACGUCC
rnacentral:rRNA from 1 species